rnacentral:rRNA from 1 species
ACGGAAGGCAGCAGUGGGGAAUAUUGCACAAUGGGGGAGACCCUGAUGUAGCGACGCCGCGUGAGUGAUGAAGUAUUUCGGUAUGUAAAGCUCUAUCAGCAGGGAAGAUAAUGACGGUACCUGACUAAGAAGCACCGGCUAAAUACGUGCCAGCAGCCGCGGUAAUACGUAUGGUGCAAGCGUUAUCCGGAUUUACUGGGUGUAAAGGGUGCGUAGGUGGUAUGGCAAGUCAGAAGUGAAAUGUAGGGGCUCAACCCCUAAACUGCUUUUGAAACUGUCAAACUAGAGUGCAGGAGAGGAAAGCGGAAUUCCUAGUGUAGCGGUGAAAUGCGUAGAUAUUAGGAGGAACACCAGUGGCGAAGGCGGCUUUCUGGACUGUAACUGACACUGAGGCACGAAAGCGUGGGGAGCAAACAGGAUUAGAUACCCUGGUA